rnacentral:rRNA from 1 species
UACAGGGGGUGCAAACGUUGCUCGGAAUCAUUGGGCGUAAAGCGCACGUAGGCGGUUCGUUAUGUCGGAUGUGAAAGCCCUUGGCUUAACCGAGGAAGUGCAUCCGAAACUGGCGAGCUAGAGUACGAAAGAGGAUCGCGGAAUUCCCGGUGUAGAGGUGAAAUGCGCAGAUAUCAGGAGGAACACGGGUGGCGAAGGCGGAUCUCUGGGCCUUGCCUGACGCUGAGGCGCGAAAGCUAGGGGAGCGAACAGG